GGGGGAUUAAUGGACAAUGGGCGAAAGCCUGAUCCACCCCUGCCGCGAGUGUGAAAAAGGCCUUCAGGAUGUAAAGCACUUUUGUCCGGAAAGAAAAGGCUCUCGUUAAUACCUGGGGUCGAUGACGGUACCGGAAGAAUAAAGACCGGCUAACUACCUGCCACCUUCCGCGGUAAUACUUAAGGUCCAAGCGUUAAUCGGAAUUACUGGGCGUAAAGCGUGCGCAGGCGGUUGUGCAAGACCGAUGUGAAAUCCCCGAGCUUAACUUGGGAAUUGCAUUGGUGACUGCACGGCUAGAGUGUGUCAGAGGGGGGUAGAAUUCCACGUGUAGCACUGAAAUGCGUAGAGAUGUGGAGGAAUACCGAUGGCGAAGGCAGCCCCCUGGGAUAACACUGACGCUCAUGCACGAAAGCGUGGGGAGCAAACAGGAUUAGAUACCCUGGUAGUCCACGCCCUAAACGAUGUCAACUAGUUGUUGGGGAUUCAUUUCCUUAGUAACGUAGCUAACGCGUGAAGUUGACCGCCUGGGGAGUACGGUCGCAAGAUUAAAACUCAA
rnacentral:rRNA from 1 species